rnacentral:rRNA from 1 species
AUUGAAGCUUGCUUCAAUUGCCGGCGACCGGCGCACGGGUGAGUAACGCGUAUCCAACCUGCCUCAUACUCGGGGAUAGCCUUUCGAAAGAAAGAUUAAUACCUGAUGGUAUGAUGAGAUUGCAUGAUAGCAUCAUUAAAGAUUUAUCGGUGUACGAUGGGGAUGCGUUCCAUUAGAUAGUAGGCGGGGUAACGGCCCACCUAGUCAACGAUGGAUAGGGGUUCUGAGAGGAAGGUCCCCACAUUGGAACUGAGACACGGUCCAAACUCC